AUGAAGGAUUCUGUUUUUGGGAGACCUGAUUAUGGGGCCAACACGGUCAUGCAAAUUUUUUUGGCAGCAGAAGCUUUGUUGCUGUUCAUCUCCCAGGAUGGUUAUUGCCAAUUACCAGUUUUUCUUGAAUAUGUUGAUCGGAGCCAGAGCUCGGGCCCGACGCCUCCGCUCGCCGUUUCCCACGCCUCCGGCGCCCCUGGUGAUUUCCGUGUGGAUCAGGUCUUCAGGGUGCCAAUAUUUUCGGACGUAGUUGGGCCAGCAAGCUCAGAUCUGAAGGAGAGAAUUGACAUGGGUAGCCGACGAGAGGGCAAGAUUCACAUGUGCAUCUGUGGUGCUAACCUUCAGUUCAUUCCGAUGUUAUACUUGUGCUUCAAUGAGUUCAUGCUGAUGCUUGAGAUGACAAAGCUUUUCUGUGUUUCCUGCAGGGGGGUGGAGUUUAAGGUAGUGAAGCCUCAGUUAAUCUUCAAGUUGCUAUGUUCUUGUUUGUUGUCAAGUAGUGACGGGAAGGCGCCGCCGACCAGGAUGUGGAGGAAGAUGGGGUUGAGACGGGUUGGUGAAGGUGUUGUGGCUGGUCGUUGGCCAAGCAGCCGCCUCUCCCUCGUCUUUGACAUCGUGAAGAAUGAUGUUGAAAUGGAUGCGUGCUGCAGGAGCAGCAGAGGCGUCGUGUACAACUUGCCUCUCGUCUCUCCUCCCUGUUAUGGAUCCAACAUGAGGAUAAAUUGUUGGGGCAGUAGGUACAACUUGCCUCUCGUCUCUCCUCCCUGUUAUGGAUCCAACAUGAGGAUAAAUUGUUGGGGCAGAGCAGCAGAGGCGUCGUGUGAGCCUUGGGUUCUUCAUCAAUUCGUUCGUGCGUUCCCUUGGUCGCAUGCGCGCCUCAGGUACAACUUGCCUCUCGUCUCUCCUCCCUGUUAUGGAUCCAACAUGAGGAUAAAUUGUUGGGGCAGUAGCAAUCAACAGUUCACCUACCUGUGUAUUCAACGGGUCAGCAAGUGGGUCAUGAUGAACCAAAUUAUGUUCUCUCUCUUGCAUAUAGAUGCUCACGAUUAUACUGAUCUGAUCAAUUGGCCAGGGAAGCAGUGUCAAGUGGAUCCUGGAAGAGCACUGGUGUGGGAUCCGCUGCUGCCAGUGGUUACCGACGGCGGCGACGACCACGAAGAUUGUCCCAGCAUCUGGAACAGUGGAUGCAUUGAGAUCGAGAUGACGAUUAGCCACUCCAUCCACGAUCACUUGGAAGGGGAGCCUCCCACCUGGCACCGCCAAGCUUCCUCUCAAGCGGCGGCACCAGGUGGCGCCCCAACUGCUAGUAUAUUGUCAAAAGUGGAGGAUCUCAUUGAUCCAUACACCGGCAGCUGGGAUGAGGAACUUCUUCGUGACUGUUUCUCGCCAGUGGAUGUGCAAAGGAUAUUGCAAAUUCCUCUUCAUACUCAGUUCACCGAAGACUUUGUUGCAUGGAAUUUUACACGGUCAGAGACGUUUUCUGUUUGUUCUGCCUAUUACAGGGAGUUAUAUCAUCAAUUUGGGUCGCGCCUCAUGAGGCCUGAUGGACAGGAGGGACUUCCGGUAGCUGAAUUGACCUCGGUUGCUGCGUGGUUCCUCUGGUGGCAGAGGCGCCAAAUCACGAAAGGCCUUGGGAUCCAAAACUCGGAGAAACAGCCUUGUCAAUUAGGGUCCUGGCAACAAAUUACUUGA
rnacentral:rRNA from 1 species